rnacentral:rRNA from 1 species
GUAGGGUGCAAGCGUUGUCCGGAAUUAUUGGGCGUAAAGAGCUCGUAGGCGGUCUGUCGCGUCGGCUGUGAAAACUCGGGGCUCAACCCCGAGCCUGCAGUCGAUACGGGCAGACUAGAGUGCGGUAGGGGAGACUGGAAUUCCUGGUGUAGCGGUGAAAUGCGCAGAUAUCAGGAGGAACACCGGUGGCGAAGGCGGGUCUCUGGGCCGUAACUGACGCUGAGGAGCGAAAGCGUGGGGAGCAAACAGGAUUAGAUACCCUGGUAGUCCACGCCGUAAACGGUGGGUGCUAGGUGUAGGCGGUAUUCCACGCCGUCUGUGCCGCAGCUAACGCAUUAAGCACCCCGCCUGGGGAGUACGGCCGCAAGG